rnacentral:lncRNA from 1 species
AAACAUUAAAUAAGAGAUUAAAACUUGAACAUUCCAACAAUUUCAUAAAAAGAAUCUACCAAAACUCAAUACGUAAAAUCCCAAAACCUUGUGAGAUAUAAGUCACAAGCUCUAAAUACAGUACCGAAUAAUCAUAUACAUCACACCCUAUCAAAAUGUAAAGAAAUAAGAAAAGAACGGGAUAUAAGGGGACUCCGAGGCCUGCGGAUGCGGGCAGGUGUACCUUGAAGUCUCCAAAGCAGCAACACAUCGCACUAAUAUCGAGGAUGAUAGGAUGCACCUGGAUCUAUACAAAAACAUGUGCAGAAGCGUAGUAUGAGUACAUCACAAUGGUACCCAGUAAGUGCCAAGCCUAACCUCAGUAGAGUAGUGACGAGGUCAGGUCAUGGCCCUAUAGAAGUAAUAGGAAAAACAAGGCAGAAGAUAUAAUGAUGUAAUGAAAUGAAAGAGGAGUGUAACAAUAGAAAUUCACAGAAGAUAACAACACGGAAUCAAAGAAGACAAUUACAACACGUAAGGAAGCACAAAUCUUACAAGUUAAAUAGCAACAAUAACAACAACAACAAAAAUAAUGCAGCAAACAGAGGAAAAUAACAAGCGCACUCCCGAGGUACCGCCUCGUAGUCCCAAAAGUAAAUAUCUCACAACGACACGGUUGUGCCACAAUAACAAUCCGUACGGCAGAAACCUCGUGCCGUAAUAACAAUCCGCAUGGCAGAAACUUCGUGCCACAAUAACAAUCCACACAACAGAAACCUCGUGCCAUAAUAACAAUCCACACGACAAAAAGCUCUUGCCACAAUAACAAUCCGCACGACAGAAACCUCGUGCCAUAACCAAUAGUCAUCUCAACAAUAAUCACGAAAACCAACACAUAACAAUUGAAACAAUGAUGAUACAAGCAAAGAAUCCUACAGUUAAAGAAUGAAUACGGAAUCAAGGAAACAGGUAAUUCAGCUACGUAUGUUGUACAAAUUGCAAAUAAGAGAUAAGACACGUAGACAUAUGAAAUUAGGCUAAACAUGAUGACUACACAUGUUAGAGUAACUCAAUUAAGGAAAUAAAAGGAAACUACUUAGCAAAAAUUGGAUUUUUAACAUUUAGUCCGAGUACGCACUCGUGACCUUGCGUACACGGCCUUCAAGUAAUGCAAUUUAUCAUAACAGUAUCAAAUCCUAAGGGAAAUUCCCCCCCGCCCCUACACACACACAAGGUUAGACAAGUCACUUAACUCAAUCUCGCUCAAUCAAUGAAUAAGAAGGCCUUUUCCUCGAUUUUUCAAUUCUGAUUGGCUCGAAUCUAGCCAAAACAAUUCCAUACUAUAAAUAUAACUAUAGAAAACUAAUCUAAAUAAUGAAAUUAUAACUUUAGCAAAGAAUUGAAAAAUCGCUCCAAAAAGUCGACUUGGGUCCACAUCUCGGAACCCAACCAAAAUUAUAAAUUCCGAACAUCCAUUCGAUAUCGAGUCCAACCAUACAAGAAUUAUCCAAAUCUGACCUCAUUUGGCCUUUCAAAACCCAAGAAUUUGAUCUGAGAACUUUACACCUUUUCCCCUAAAGUUUUCAACCCAAAACCUUAAUUAAAUGAAGAAAUCGAAGAUAGAUUAGUGGGAAUUAAUCAAAAAUAAGUCAAGAAUCCUUACCCAAGUGUUUCCUUUGAAAAUCCCUCAAAACCUCGCCUCAAUCCGAGCUUUCAAAACCCAAAAGUGAAAAUGAAACCAAACCAUCGACUUUCCCUAUUUCUUCCCAGUCAAACCGCAUCUGCGGCUCAAGAAUCGCUUCUGCGAUGCUGCACCUGCAGAAAAACCAUCGCAGGUGCGGAAAACACUUAAGUCGAGGGCUUUCGCUUCUGCAGAUAAGGGCCCGCAUAUGCGAUACUGCUUCUGCGGGAAUGGGAUCGCACCUGCGACCACUAGCACUUCUGCACCCCGCCAUCGCAGAAGCGAAGACAAUUCCGCAGAAUAUUUCCCGCUUCUGUGACCAUUGUUGGGCAUGACCAAACUCGCUUUUGCGACCAAGAUCUUGCCGCCCGCACAUGCGGCCAAUCCUCCGCAGGUGCAAAAACACCAGCAUAACCCAGCUUCAGCAGAUUUCACAAUUCUCAAUUUAUUCCAGUUUCAAUACGAAUCACACUCGGGGCCCCUGGGACCUCGUCUGAAUAUACCAACAAGUCUUAAAAUAUCAUACGAACUUAGUCGAGCCUUCAAAUCAUAUCAAACAACGCUAAAAAUAUGAACUGCACAUCGAUUCGAGCCUAAUGAACUUUCUAACUUCUGUAUUCGACGCCGAAACCUAUCAAAUCAAGUCCGAUUUACCUCAAAUUUUUCAUACAAAUCAUAAUUGACAUUAUGGACCUGUUCCAACUUCCGGAAUCAGAAUCUGACCUCUAUAUCAAAAAGUCCACUCCCGGUCAAAUUUUCCAAAAAAUCAUCCAACCUUCCAACUUUCGCCAAUUAACGCCGAAAUGACCUACGGAGCUCUAAAUAGACAUCCGGACAUGCUCCUAAUACCAAAAUUAACCUACGGAGCUAAUGAGACCGUCAAAACUCCAUUCUGAAGUCGUCUUUACUCAAAUCAAACUACGAUCGACUCUUAUGACUUAAACUUCCAAUUUAGGGAUUGUGUGUCCCAUUUCUUUCCGAAAUAAAAAACCAAACCUCCCGGCAAGUUACGUAACCAUAAUAUAACAUAGAGAAGGUAAUAAUUAGGGGGUCGGGGCUAAUACACUCAAAACGACCGGCUGAGUUGUUACACCAAUCUUUUACCAGUUCAUUCACAAACUAAAAAUCUUGGUCAAAUAAUAUCUCUUACUUUCACCGGGAGUAUAUCAAUAAUAUGAUGAUGAUUUAUUGGAACACAACAUGACAUAGGUUUCUUUUGGAGCAUCUCUUGAUGGAAAACGUAAUUAGAGCAGAGGUGAAGAGUAGUCACCUUUCAAUAACUUACAUUGUUCAUCAAUAGAUCUAUAGUGCCCCAUGUAUUAAUCAGUUGAAAAAAUUUAUGAAAACUAAUUACAUCAUAGAUUCUUUUAACAAUAAGAAACAUCUAACAGAAAUUCUCGCAGUUUUAAUUAUUGCAUUAUCAUUUGCUUCUUUAGAAACAUCUCACCCAAAAUUAAGAAUGUGGUGACCAAUCUGUUGAAAAUAUUAUGAUUAACAAUCAUAUAUUUCUCCAUUAAGGCACUAAGAGAUAUUCUAAAAGCAUCAAUAUUUUCGAUGCCAUGAAACAUACAAAUACUUAAACCUAAAAUACAAUAAUUGGAAAAGAUACUUAUUUCCUAACCAUAUCAAUAAACUUCCCAUAAGAUUCAUUUGACUAAGCAUAUGAGGAGCCUUUAAAGCUAGAACACUCACCCAUAAGGGAAAACAACAAUUCAAGUCAAAAACCUAAAAGGAUAAUCACUAAUCUCGAGGAAAAAAAAUGAAGGGUAGAAGCUGACGCUGAGCAACAAUCAAGUAGGCAAAAUAGGGAUUGUGAAAAUAUGAUAUGAACAUGAGUUAUCAGCAAGAAAAUACCAACUUAACUUUAAAACCAAACUCAUAUUUGAACUUGAAAGGAACAUUUAAACAGUAACAAACAAAACUUUCUUUCUUGGAAUGAUAAAAAGAUUAAGGUUACUUUUCACUUUCUUUCAGUUUAAAUGAAAAAAUUAUUGCUUUCGUUGUAGUUUCAGUUGCAGCAUAUUAUGAUGAUAUCAAAAGAUUUAAAGUAAGAAGUUGGUUAGAAAAAUUUACCUUUUGAUUGAAAUGCUACUGAAUAAUACAAAUACACAAUAACUAUGAUGAAUCGCAAUAACUGAAAUAGAGGAGAAAGAUGAAAAAUUAGAACAGCCUAAAAGUUAGAAGCAGUCAUGCAUGUGAUGAUUAAACAACAACCAGUUUGAUCAUAUUGUCUCUACCAAUUAGGGAAAGAUAAGGCGCCUCGUAAAUAAUUUAAUAAAUAAAAACUUAAAUUAAGACUUGUCCAAUUUCGCGUAUACAUCAGCCACGAAAUUGCAAAAUCAAGAAAAUAAAAAAAAAUCAAAACUCAGCACGCUUCGAGUUUAAAAAUGCAUUUUUAUCGCUCGAUUUAAAACAUACUCCUCUGCACAAGGUGAUUGAUCUGUUAGGUCUGUUCCGAAAAUCAGAGAACAAUUUAAUUAGAAGCCUUACUCCUACGAUUUAUAACGGAAAGAACGUAGAAAUUAAGCUUCAACUAUUAAAACCUCAAAUUGGCAAAUACUAUCCAAACUGAUCCCAAUUUAGUACCAUAGGCCAAAAUUGCAAAACCCCAAUUGAUUAAGACUAUAGUUACAGGUAAAAAAUGAACCAACAAAAGUGACGAAGCAGAGGAUAAAAGAAAAGAAGACGAGCAGAAAUUCAAACUUUAUUAAGCAUUGUAACACUAUACCCAAAUUUUCUUCGUUUUAAUUAGGAUUAAUACCCAUAUCAGUAUCAUCAGCUGACUGAGAUCAAGAAUCCAUUGAUCUCCAAAAAACAAAUGCAUGUGGGUUGGAACUAAUUGAAAAAGCAAAAAAAUGAGAAAUAAAUAUAAAACAACCAAAUUGAAGUUGAAAAGGAAGAGAUUGUUCCUAUGUCCUUCCUAUAUCAGAUGCAUAGCAAAAAACAUGGGUAAAAUUGAUUAAAAAAUACCUACAGGUAGAAGCAAUGUGAGGAAGACGAAGAGAUAUCUUAGAAGCCGUCUAAAAUUUGAAAGUUUAUUAUACAAAGAAAUGAGAGGAAAACCUAAUGAUGUUGUCUCGGGAAAGCAAACCUGGAGUCAUUUAAGAUCUACGUAUCUGAUUUAAUUGCAAGAACAAAUGUGAAAUGGCCUAAAUCCCCUUGAGCUUUAUCAAAAAGACAAUAAGCACACAGGUCGAAACAGCAGCCCUCUUGGGCGGCCGAGAGUGUAAUGUAAAAAGGACCAAGGAGAAUCCUAUCCUAAAGGAGAAGGAGGAGAAGAAGAGAACUAACUUAAUUAGAAGCCUUACUCCUUCGAUUCAUAAUGGAAAGAACAUAGAAACUAAGCUUCACUAUCAAAAUCUCAAAUUGGCAAAUACUAUCCAAACUGAUCCCAAUUUAAUACCAUAGGCCAAAAUUGUAAAACCCCAAUUGAUUAAGACUAUAGUUACAUGUAAAAAAAAUGAACCAACAAAAGUGACGAAGCAGAGGAUAAAAGAAAAGAAGACGAUGAACAAAAAUUCUAAACUUUAUUAAGCGUUGUAACACUAUACCCAAAUGUUUUUCAUUUUAAUUAGGCUUAAUACUCAUAUCAGUAUCAUCAGCGAACUGAGAUCAAGAAGCCAUUAAUCUCGAAAAAAUAAAUGUGUGUGGGUUGGAACUAAUUGAAAGAGAAAAAAAAAAAGAAGAAAUAUAUAUAAAACAACCAAAUUGAUGUUGAAGAGAAAGAGGUUGUUCCUAUAUCAUAUGCAUAACAAAAAACAUGGGUGAAAUUGAUUAAAAAAUACCUGCAUGUAGAAGAAAUGUGAGGAAGACGAAGAGAUAUCUUAGAAGCCGUCUAAAAUUUGAAAGUUUAUAAUACAAAGAAAUGAGAGGAAAACCUAAUGAUGUUGUCUC